rnacentral:rRNA from 1 species
AAGGGGGGACGGAGAAGGCUAUGUUGGCCGGGUGACG